rnacentral:misc_RNA from 1 species
UUACCGCGCCACCCUCUCCCACGCUCUCGACGCGUCCGCUAACACAGGAGAGCCGCAGCAGCCGCAGCAACGGAAAUAAGUCGUCCAAGUAAGGCGUUGUCGCCGCGAGUAGACGGGGGUGGGGAGCCUUUCCCCUUAUUUUUCCCCUUUUCAUCUUUUCUUGUUCGUUAUCGCGUCUCCUCGUGCGCCGUCACAGCGGUCGUGGCCUCGUUGUCGCGUCGCUCUCUCCUGCUUUUCCAUUCUUUUUAGCCCUCCAUGAUUAUUGGUCGUGAACCUUGCAUUACGGACCCCGCCUGCCGCAACAAAGGACAGACACCAAAGAAGCUUGUGAACGCUAACCGCACACACACACGCACACGCAGGGACUGCUUCGUGUUUCGUCUUGGGCCUUUCUUCCCACAUACAUACACACACACAUACACACACACACACACACACACACACACACAGAGCCUACGUGCAGAUCGGGCCGUGCACACACACGCGCCGCAGCGGAGCUACACCUUUCAAAGGCUUGCCACCUCCCCUUCCCUACCUUUUUCUCAGCCGUUGCUGUGGGCUAAAUGCCGAGGAAAGAGUCUGGUGCUAGCCGCUUCGUCAACAUGAGCGCACCGGCUCCGAACUCCGCCUCCGGUGCCAAGGGGUCGGCGCCGCCCACCCCGACAACCGUGCGCUCCACGCCUGCACGUCUGCCGCACCGCCCCAUCUCCCCGUCUGUGGGCUCGUUGCUGCAGAAGGGGCUGACAAUGUCUUCGACAUCUGUGGCGUCGCUCUCCUCGCAGCGUGGAAAGGCGACCACCACGACGAACACCACCACAACGCGGCCCGCGGCGGCACCAGCAUACCCAUACGAUGCAAACACAAAGGCGCUCGAGGCGUAUCUCCCUCGCCUCCAGGCCGCUGCAAACCGCGCCAGCCCAGUGGCACCGUCCACGGCACAAAAGCCACUGCCGGAGGGCAGUGCGAAAUCUCGCUAUCUACCGUCAUCAUCCUUGAAGGUGUUGACAGUCGCCGGUGCGGCUGAGCCUGGUGUGCGUGCCGCACGCUCGCGAAACGAUCAUCGCACCUCCCCUGUGCGGGGUCGCGCUACUCUCGGUUCAUCUCAGCAGCGCACGAAUUGGGGUUUUGAGACGCUGGCGGAGGAGAGGGACAGCGAAGAUGACCUGCAAGCCCGAUCACCCCUGCGUACGCUCGCAAACCUGCCGCAGCGCACGCAGGAGUUGUGCGAGGACCUCAUAACUCUCGAUUCGCUUGUCGAGGCGGAUGAAGCUUUCUUGACCGCACAGGAGGACAUGGAGGCGCGCAUCAUGGCGUUGCUACAGUCGUGGCGCGAGGCGGCGGCGGAAGGCGACUCGCGAGGUGGAAGCCGACGACCCUCUGGCGUUUAUGCUCUCGCUACUGCGUCGACUCCAACCGCUGCUGGCACACAGCUGGGCGACGCGGUCGCUAGCAGCAGCGGUGGCGGCGGCGGCGGGGGCACGCAGCGUGUCCUGCAAGACUUCGACGAAGCUCGUGACCGCAUCACUCUCUUGGAGAAGUUGCAUGAGGAGCUCACAGAGAUGGAAGGGCAACAUCGCGAGCUCCAGCGCCGCUACGUGGUGGAGGGCUCGCCGCUGUCGGCGCUGGAUGAGCUCUGCGCGCGGCUGGACGAGGAGGACGGAGAAAUGCGCGAAAACGGCGAUGAGGCACGCUGCGCUGAAGGCUCGGAGAAGGCUGGCUGGGGUGCCCAUAGAGACGGCCGAUCGAAGGCGCGACAACGGCAGGAGCUCGAUGUGGCGCGGGCCGGACUAGCUGCCUGCCGUCUUCUUGCCGACCGACUGCGCUCUCGUGGCAUGAUGAUCGUCGACCGUCUCACGGACGAGCUCCUCUGCAUGCGUUCCGACGUGGCGCGACAUGACUGGACGGCGUUGCAGUCGUCGACUCCCCUGACCCGAAUGGACCGUGCGGUGCCCCUAGACGCGCGCGAUGACAGCCUCAUCUCUGGCACCUCGAUCAGCUGGUGCACGUCGCUCUUCCCGCCACCGCUCCCGGUGGCGGCGGUGAGUCGAGGCGGGAAAGGCAGGGCGCGCCUUUUCGCGAACAGCAGUGCGCAUUAUUUUGUCGAAGCUGCUGGACGCACGCACGGCAGCGACGGCGAUGAGUCGGACCGUUCCAAAGCCACUGUGACGUCCACAGAGACGCCAGAGUCCUUUGUUCUUCGCGUGCAAGUGCCGGUCUUCGCAUCCGCCACACCGCCUGCCUUGGUGACCUCCUUGCCAGCUGCCGUGACGACGACCGCGGAAGGUGCAACGGCCACCACAGCAAGUUUUGCGUCCCGUGUCAGCGGUGAUGGUCUUCAUUCCUCGAACUCAGCGGAGAGGAUGCGAAGGCGGUCAAGCGGAGCCACGCAAGCACUGCCAACGGCACCGCCCACCACUGUCUCAGUUAUCGCCACUCCUACCCGCUACGCUCUUGUCCAGCUGUACGAAUGCUGCCGUGAGGGGCUCGCCGCAAUGCUCACUCGACUCUGUGCGCUGCGUACCCGGCGCUCCAAGGAGGCGGAGCUGCUUCAACAAGAGCAGAGUGCGAUGGAUGUGUAUGAUCCUGCCGCAGACGACCUUGCUGCCCGGUGCGCGGCGCUUCUUCGCUACGUGGCUCAGCUGGACGAAUGGGCUGGGGAGGUGCUGCAGAUGGAUCAAGUGCUCCACGAGCGCGUUAAGUUGCCAUUGGAUGCCGCCCUGCAGACCUGUGAGCGGGUGCGUAAUCAGCUGCUGGAGGUGCUGAAGCAGCGGCUGGAGGACGAAGAGGGGCACCACAAUGAACGCGCCGCGGCAGCGGCGGAUGCCGAGGAAUACGGCGGUGAAGCGGAUGACAGAGGCGGACAUCAUCUGCCGCAUGAGCGGGUGUGCGAUGACAACAGCGAGGAACUGCACGCAUUGCCAGACGAGGGCGGCGAAGGGAAUGUCAGCGAUCAGCGCCGGAUGUCGGGUUCGAUCGGCGACUAUCGGGCGCAUCGAGCUACUCAGCCGCCUACGAGGGCGUCAUGCGGCGCCGCGCCACCCACCGCCCUGCCGCGUGCGUCCGCUGCGUUCAUUGGGAUGCUCGAAACGCUCUUGCAGGACCAGCAAUCCGCUGGCGAGGCCCUCCGUGCCACCGCAACGGCCUUCGCUGGAGGCACGUCCGGGGGCGAGCGGGAGCUGGACACCGGCGAGCACUGUGGAAAGGACGGUGAGCCAAGUGAGGAGGCACCGACGCCUGAGCAGGGGUCGUCGGUAGCAGAGGGGCACAAUGAGGGCCCCCGCGCGCUGGUCGGUUUAGAAACUGCGCCAGAGGCGGAGCCCGUGAACACGCCAUCCGCGGCCCACUCGCACAGAAAGACAGCGACGGUGGCGGUCGGCAAAGCGAACGCGAGCGAGGCGACUAACACCCAAGCCGAUAGACCGAGCGAAGGCGUCGACGCCGGUCACGUUGCCGGCCGUCGCCGCCAUCGUGAUGAUAGCGAGGACGAGAGCGAAGACACUCCCUCGCAUUCCGUGCUGUCCCAAACCGCUGAGCGAAAGCAUGCGCAUACCUUGGACCCCACCUCGACGGCAGCGCCGCCGCAUGAGAUUACCGUCUACAUCUCGUCAACAUCUUGCUCUGAGUUGGGGGAAGAGCUUGGGGAGGACGUGGGCGUGAGGCAGAGUGCGGUUCAGACUCAGGGAGGAAUGCACCGACUAGCGAAGAUGCUGGAGCCUGAGCCCGACGACAGCGAUGGCGACGACGAUGUCUCUGACUCCGAUAGCGGCGACGAUUCUCGGAACAGCAGAGAAGGCAAUUUAAAUCCCACGAACCAGCGCCAGCGGUACGCUCUCGGCAGUGGUAACGGGCUAGGGGAGGGGCUUCGCGCCUUCUUCUCCGCUGUGGUGCGCCGCGCCAUGAGCUUCGACGACAGCGAUGACGACGCCGAUGAGACUGAGAUGGCGAUGCCUUUUCAAGGACGGCAGCACGGCGGUGCAUCGCCGCUGCCUUCGCACAAGCGUGCCCGCCGCGAGUAGCAAGCCAUGUUGAAUGCCAGCAAGUGCUGCUCUGUGCACGCCUGCUCACCUAAUACUGCGGCGUUUUGGUGGGGGCAGGGCGGCAGAUUCGAAAACAGCAACAACGGCAUAGGGACCGGGCGUGUGUGCGUGUGCGUGUGCGUGUGCGUGUGCUUGUGUGAGGGUGAAGGGAGUAACGCUCGUAUGGCGGUGCGUGCGUCUCUUCCUCCUCCCUCCAUCCUCUUCCUUUAUCCUUCCGCCCCUCCGCUCUUCUGCCGCCUUUUCUGCUCUCGCCAGCGCCGUGCGAACACGCGCCACGGCGGCACACUCCUCUUCAUGUUCUCCUUUUUCUACUAAAGAAGUAUUUUUCUUUUCAUCUGAGUCCUCUUAUUCACUUGUUCGGCGAUUGUUUGGAAACUGUCGUUGUCGUUGCCAUCAUCGCCGCCAAUGCCUUGGCGCACACGCUUGCGGUGCUUUUGGUGCUGGCGCUGUGGCUGCCCUCUUGGAUACUCGUCGAUUUUGUCUGUGUGUGGGCGUUCUUCUUUUUCGUCUUCGCUUGCUAGAGACUUCACCCCCCGUCUUCUUCUUUCCUUUGCGUGUGCAAUGUGCGCAGACUCACUUCCCUUUUAUCAUAUCUGAUCGUCGGAAAGCAUGAAAGGGGACAGUAUUGACCUCCCCCUUCCCUCCCCUUCCCUUCCCUUCCCUUCCCCUGUUUCCCAGUGGAGGUUGUCAGUGGCGUCUCCAGCCAGUCUUCUUCUUUCAUGCGGCCUUGCUUCGCCCGUGCUCGUGGGUUCGCGCCUACACGUGUUUCGGUUCUUGGCGUCCUGUUUUGCUCCUGUCCUUUGGUCUGCCCCCCUCCUCCUCCAUGUCUUUCUUUCUACUUUCUUCAUCCGCCACAGGGCAGCGACUGUUCCGGCACACGCUUCUCUUUCCUUCGUGCGUACUGUGCUCUUCUGUCUUGUCGGG